UUAGGUUUUGAGGGUGAAUUUUCAGAUUGUAAGAAUAAAAAAGUUUCUUAUAUUUUUUCCGAUGAGUAUGCCUGAAUCCGGCAAACUACCACCAGCCAAAACCCUUUCACUUCUUUGCAAACAACUCAAAACCUCAUUGCUUCUUACCAGUGAACAUCAACCACUGCCAAAACCCCAUUGUCAUCUCUUUUCUUUUUUCGAUCAGUCUGCCACCACCAAAGAUAAACCAUCAACCCUUUUGUUUCAUCUUCUCCUCUCUUUGAACACCAAAACCACCAGCCAAAGAUGAGCAGAAACUAACUCACACAACCAUCGCUCAACCCACAACAACCACUUCCAUUUCCGUCGUUUCCGGUGAAAUACCCAACACCAAACAGCUAAUCAAACCACCCAAAAAACUCAAGCCAUUCUUUUUCCUCUUUCCUUGUUGCUGCGACGAAACACCAACUGAAACAAUCAUCAAACAAGUAGCUGAAACAGCCAACAAAAUCAUACAAACACCUCCCAGAUCUUGCCCAACACCCCCAUUCUCACCUUCUUCCGACAGAGAAACAACAAGCGAUGACCACUGUGAGGACGACCAGAUCUAUUCGGAUUCACAUUUCCAGCAAACCUGAUGAGCAGAAAGCUCCAAACCACCAUGACACCAUAAAUAGUGAAAUACAAUAUGUUAAAACUGGCGGAUGAAGAAAUUACCAUCAAUCUUCAAGGCUUUCCAUGUUAAUAAGACGGGUUUUAUUUUCAUUUAUUUAUUUCAUUUAUUUUUAUUUUUAUUUAUUUAUUCCUAACACUUUUACUAAGUGUGUUUACUGGUACGCCGGUGUUGCUUUCAAUUGAAGCUAUUUCAAUGGAAUUUGAAUCAUAUUUUUUUAUUUAUUAUUGGGUAUAUUAUUGA